rnacentral:rRNA from 1 species
GACGAACGCUGGCGGCGUGCUUAACACAUGCAAGUCGAGCGGUAAGGCCCUUUCGGGGGUACGACGAGCGGCGAACGGGUGAGUAACACGUGGGUGACCUGCCCUCAGCUCUGGGAUAAGCCUGGGAAACCGGGUCUAAUACUGGAUAUGACUCCAUGACGCAUGUUGUGGGGUGGAAAGCCUUGUGCGGCUGAGGAUGGGCCCGCGGCCUAUCAGCUUGUUGGGUGGGGUGANGGCCUACCAAGGCGACGACGGGUAGCCGGCCUGAGAGGGCGACCGGCCACACUGGG